rnacentral:lncRNA from 1 species
GUAAAACUUGUUGUGUGCGCAAACAUUCUUCUUGAAAAUCGCAAACAAAUUCAAGCUUACCCAGACACUGAACACAGAUCGCCUUGGGUAGAGGAUCUUUCUCAUCUAUCUGUGAUUCACAAAAUGAAGUAUAAUCAAUUGAACUUUGAUCAUGUUUAAAAAUCAUGAUCAUGUUAAAAGAAUCAUCAUUUAAUCAUGUUAAAAGAAAAAUGGAUAAGACGAAGUAGGUAAGAUAACAAAUUGAUGAUAAGAUGACAACUAAUUUUUCUACAUUAACAACAGGUAAUGAGUUAAUGCUAAUAUUAUUAGAGAUUUUAGAUAAUAGUCUCUUGUAGUUUGAUUUUAAUCUAUCCACAAAAGUAUAAGAAUAAUAUAAGAAAUAUUAUGGAUGCAUUCAUAUCAAUAUAAAUUUUUUAUGUAGAAAUACUACAUAUAGAAAUGAUAUAAAUUAUAAUAAUUAUUAUUUUAUAACUAUGUAAUAUAAUUUAUUAAUUCAUACGAUGACAUAUAAUAUUUUUUAUUUGUCGCAUUACAACAUUAUUGUAAAAUAAAUAAUUAAAUAAAUACAAUGAUCAGUGGCAGGAUUCUGUAACUCUUGACGAUAGUAUCGUUUCACUAUCGUUAUGCGAAUAUUAUAUAUGAUUAAAAAGAUCCAGAACGAUAAUCAUACUGUCAUGUGACGAUACCGAUACUGUCAUUAAGAGAUUAUAGAAUCCCAUUACUGAAAUAAGAUAAUAAACAAUGCAUGGACAACAUGAUGCAUAUUCGUUAAUGCAUGUUGUAAGUAGUUAUACUUAUUAACAUGUAUUGCAAAUACAUUAUUAUCAAAUCAGUUAAUUCUUCAAUAUUGAUUUGUAAAUAAAUCUGACCAUAUGUAAUUGGCUAAAUUUUUUAUUCAUAAAAUAAAAACAUAGAUGUAUUAUAUUAUCAAAUAUGAAUGUUUAAAUGACUUCUUAUUCUUUAAUCUUUUAUUGUACACAUCAUUAUACACAUUUUUACUGAACAUAUUUUGCGGAAUUUUAGUAUAUGAAGAUUUUUAAGUUGGUUAAUUGUAAAGUUAAAAUUUAAUAAAAAUAAAAAUUUAAUAAACAAAAUAGUGGAUUUAGCUGUUAAAUUAAAAAAUAAUUGUGGCUUAUUUACAUAUAUUUUAUAUACAAAAGUUUUACAGUUCUGAUUUCAAUAAUAAAGAAGAUAGCAGGCAUCGGUUCAAACAUUGGUUUGAAAUUGCUAAUUUCAAAUACUGCUUUAAUGGAAUGUAUGUAUUUAAUGAUACAAUAACUUUUAGCAUCAGAAAUUUGAAGUACAAAAUAUAUCAUAAAAAUAUAUAAUUUUACUUAAAUAUAAUUUUUUUAAACAGAAUCUUGCAAAAAGUCAAAUUCUAAUUUUAAUAAUUAAAAUGUAAUAACUAAAAUAAUUAAAAAUUGUAUACAUAUGUGUGUAUGUGUGUGUGUAGGUAAAGUAAAUAGAUAAAUUUAGAAUCAAUGAUAGGCCAAAAAACAAAAAAAUAAUUACAUAUUUAUGUUAUUUACCUAUAUAUACAAGUUUUAGAAACAUGUCAAAUGAUAUCAAAUAUGUUACACACUAACUAAUGGAUAGACAGUAAAAAUAUAUUGCUGUUCUAAUCCUUCAACUUCUCUUUUCCUAUUUCCUAUGACACAUGUUUUAAGCAUAUCAUGCAUUAUUAAAUAAUAAUUAAAAAGGCCCUUUAUUGAGCCGCUUAAUUAUAUUCGGCUCAGAUAUCUUAUGUAUUUUUAUUAUUAAUACACUAAUCAAACCCAUUAAUAAUCUUAAUUACUUUUUUAUAUCAUGUUAUCUAAUUUAUAAUAAUUCACAUUGCUUGUAUUGUCUACAUAGAAACUAUAAUUGUAAAUUUCAAGAUUAUAUCUACAUAGAUUAUUGAAGUAUUGUUCACAUUAUAUUUAUAUAAAUUCUUUUGAUGUAAUGAGCUUUGAUAAUACGAACAAUGUAAAUUAUUUAAAAUUUGAUAACAGUACAGAAAAGUAAUAAAGUUAUAAUAUAUAAUAUUAAAAAUUAAAAAAUGCAAUAUAAUUUUCACUAUUUGUCAUAAAAUUUAAAUUUUUUAUAAUUUACUGAUGAUUGUUUACAUAAAUAACACAUAAAAUCUAGUUUACAUUGUAUACAUAUUUAGAUUAUUUAUAUUUUACAUGUAAACUCUUAAAACUGAUAAAAAUGAUUCAUAUAGACAAAAUGUAAAUAUAUACAAUAAAUAACCCAUUUUAUAUAAUCUUGAAAUGUACAGCAUAAUACUUUUGCUAAAUUUUAUGUCAGUUAUAUAUUGAUCAGUAUAUCGAUAUUUGCAAUUUAUAUAUCAUAAAAACUAGAGCUAAGAUUUUAUCUUUAUUAACAUAUUUGUUUCACUACAAAAUUUCAGUUUUAACAACUGAAUAGCAUCACAAAAUUAAUAGAAAAAAUCAAAUGUUUUAAUAUAAAAUUUUAAUAAAAUGUCCAAUUACAGUUAUAUCCAGCUAACACCAAAUAUAACAUAGAUAUGAUUUCAUAUGCAUAUAACAUAUACAUGUGUUAUAUACCAUUAUAUAUAUGUUAUACUCAGUAUUUGUUGGAUAAGUACUAAAUUAUUUCAACCAAAAAUAUUGGUGCUCCAAUUCUAAAAAAAUUUUUUCUAUACACAUCAACAAAUACAAAAUACAAGACAAUA